UACGUAGGGACCAAGCGUUGUUCGGAUUUACUGGGCGUAAAGGGCGCGUAGGCGGCUUAACAAGUCACUUGUGAAAUCUCCGGGCUUAACUCGGAACGGCCAAGUGAAACUGUCAAGCUAGAGUGCAGAAGGGGCAAUCGGAAUUCUUGGUGUAGCGGUGAAAUGCAUAGAUAUGUCUCAGAACACCGAUUGCGAAGGCAGCUUACUAUGGUCUUAUUGACGCUGAGGCACGAAAGCGUGGGGAUCAAACAGG
rnacentral:rRNA from 1 species